GACGAACGCUGGCGGCGUGCUUAACACAUGCAAGUCGAACGGACAGGCCCGGCUCUUGUGGGGUGCUCGUUUGGGGAACGGGUGAGUAACACGCGUGUAACCUGCCCUUGACUUUGGGGUAACUUCAGGAAACUGGGGCUAAUAUCGGAUAGGAUCUCUUGCUGCAUGGUGGGGGUUGGAAAGUUUCGGCGGUUGGGGAUGGACUCGCUGCUUAUCAGCUUGUUGGUGGGGUAGUGGCUUACCAAGGCUUUGACGGGUAGCCGGCCUGAGAGGGUGACCGGCCACAAUGGGACUGAGAGACGGCCCAGACUCCUACGUGACGCAGCAGUGGGAAAUAUUGCACAAUGGGCGGAAGCCUGAUGCAGCAGCGCCGCGUGCGGGAUAACGGCCUUCGGGUUGAAAACCGCUUUCGCCUGUGACGAAGCGUGCGUGACGGUAAUGGGUAAAGAAGCACCGGCUAACUACGUG
rnacentral:rRNA from 1 species